rnacentral:rRNA from 1 species
GACGAACGCUGGCGGCGUGCUUAACACAUGCAAGUCGAACGGAAAGGCCCUGCUUUUGUGGGGUGCUCGAGUGGCGAACGGGUGAGUAACACGUGAGUAACCUGCCCUUGACUUUGGGAUAACUUCAGGAAACUGGGGCUAAUACCGGAUAGGAGCUCCUGCUGCGUGGUGGGGGUUGGAAAGUUUCGGCGGUUGGGGAUGGACUCGCGGCUUAUCAGCUUGUUGGUGGGGUAGUGGCUUACCAAGGCUUUGACGGGUAGCCGGCCUGAGAGGGUGACCGGCCACAUUGGGACUGAGAUACGGCCCAGACGCCUACGGGAGGCAGCAGUGGGGAAUAUUGCACAAUGGGCGGAAGCCUGAUGCAGCAACGCCGCGUGCGGGAUGACGGCCUUCGGGGUGUAAACCGCUUUCGCCUGUGACGAAGCGUGAGUGACGGUAAUGGGUAAAGAAGCACCGGCUAACUACGUG